ACCUAUCCUAUGUUGUGGCAAGGGGCAUAUACAAAAUGGGAGCGAUAUACAGUUGAGGAUGCUUAUGAAAUAGUGAAGUAAGAUAUCCAUUGCUUGUCCCAUGAUGGGCAAGCUUUUCUUCUUUUUGUGAUUUAAUUAUAUACUUUUGUAUGCUGUUCUUGAUAGUUUUUUGGAUAUCUCAAUUGGGUUUACAUUGGUGAAAAUGUGAUAUUGCAUGGAUACAUGAAAUCAUCCCUUGAAUAAGUCGAUUCUCUUCGCUAACUGUUUCUUUCUCUCUCAGUAUGGUAACUUUCUCAUUGAGUCCCACUUUUUUGUUCCCAAGAUAGAGCACACCUGAGAUUGACUGAGAAUGGUUUAGAGACUCUUAUGGAUGCAGAAUUCUUUGUACAUAGUCAAUCUAUAGCAAUGCUUUUACUAGUCAGAUCCUAUGUGAAAGAACUUCAUUACUAGAGGUAAUCUGACAUGAAGUGCAUAUGCAAUUAUAGACUGCCUAGCGGAUCAACAAAUAACAUGUUUUCCCUUCCAUGCUGCCGCUAAAUUGAUAUUUAUGGUUUAUGUCAUCACAUAUUUUGACUUCAUGGAUCUGGCACCUGGCAAUGUACUAACUUUCUCUUUUUGUUGUCAUGCUGGCUUUCCCUAUAUGAAGCUUUGCCAAAAAUAGAGGAAUCCAUGUGAUGGCCGAAGUAGACGUCCCUGGUCAUGCAGAAUCAUGAGAACCACUUGAUGUUUCCAAAAGUUCUACCUUUGACUUAAUUUCUGGCCUCUUAUCAG